ACCAGGCACGGUGACGCAUGCCUGUAGUCCCAGCUACUCGGGAGGCUAAGGUGGGAGGAUUGCUUGAGCCCAAGAGUUCUGGGCUGUAGUGUGCUAUGCUGAUCGGGUGUCCGCACUAAGUUUGGCAUCAGUAUGGUGACCUCCUGGGAGCAGAGGACCACCAGGUUGCCUAAGGAGGAGUGAACCAGCCCAGGUCAGAAACAGAGCAGGUCAAAACUCCCGUGCUGAUCAGCCUUGGGGUCACCUGUGGAAAGCCAGUGCACCCCAGCCUGGGCAACAUAGCAGUACCCUGUCUCU
rnacentral:SRP_RNA from 1 species